AAGUCGUAACAAGGUUUCCGUAGGUGAACCUGCGGAAGGAUCAUUAGAAAUUGAACCCCUUCGGGGGGUCGUGCGAUCCGGUAAAAAAGAACCACGUCGCAUCACGAUAUGUACAGUGGCAGGCUUCGGGAGUUCCCCUCUCGACCGUAUGUGCGGCGCACAUGAUGCGACCGUCUUGUGGCGGCCUGCCCCUUCUCACAAACCAUUCUACCAGCUGCCUGAACUUUUUUUUGCGAACACGCAACACAAAUCGAAAUACAACUUUCAGCAACGGAUCUCUUGGUUCCU
rnacentral:misc_RNA from 1 species